UACGUAGGGUGCGAGCGUUGUCCGGAAUUAUUGGGCGUAAAGGACUCGUAGGCGGUUUGUCGCGUCGGGAGUGAAAACAUCUGGCUUAACUGGGUGCUUGCUUUCGAUACGGGCAGACUAGAGGUAUGCAGGGGAGAACGGAAUUCCUGGUGUAGCGGUGAAAUGCGCAGAUAUCAGGAGGAACACCGGUGGCGAAGGCGGUUCUCUGGGCAUGAUCUGACGCUGAGGAGCGAAAGUGUGGGGAGCGAACAGG
rnacentral:rRNA from 1 species